rnacentral:lncRNA from 1 species
AGAUAAUUGGACACAAAUAUUCAGACCAUCAAUGUUCGAGAUGUAAUGGAGAAGAUAAUAUUAUCCCAGAAGUCCGCCUAGAAUAAAAGAAUCAAGAAGAUAAGCAUGCCAGCUGGAAAGAAGAUAAAAAAUCAACAGAUACGAACAAAAGAUAAAAAGAAGACGGAGCAAAAAUAGACAAAGCAUUAAAGGAAGAAAGCGACAUAUAGAGAAAAGAAAAAGCUAA